AGGCAGCAGUGGGGAAUUUUSCGCAAUGGGCGAAAGCCUGACGGAGCMAUACCGCGUGAGGGAAGACUGCCUAUGGGUUGUAAACCUCUUUUUUCAGGGAGGAAUAAAAUGACGUGUACCUGAAGAAUAASCAUCGGCUAACUCCGUGCCASCAGCCGCGGUAAU
rnacentral:rRNA from 1 species